rnacentral:rRNA from 1 species
AGUGAACGCUGGCGGUAGGCCUAACACAUGCAAGUCGAACGGCAGCACAGUAAGAGCUUGCUCUUACGGGUGGCGAGUGGCGGACGGGUGAGGAAUACAUCGGAAUCUACUUUUUCGUGGGGGAUAACGUAGGGAAACUUACGCUAAUACCGCAUACGACCUACGGGUGAAAGCAGGGGAUCUUCGGACCUUGCGCGAUUGAAUGAGCCGAUGUCGGAUUAGCUAGUUGGCGGGGUAAAGGCCCACCAAGGCGACGAUCCGUAGCUGGUCUGAGAGGAUGAUCGGCCGCACUGGAGGUGGGACACGGUCCAGACUCCUGCGGGAGGCAGCAGUGGGGAAUAUUAGACAGUGGGCGCAAGCCUGGUCCAGCCAUACCGCGUGGGUGAAGAAGGCCUUCGGGUUGUAAAGCCCUUUUGUUGGGAAAGAAAAGCAGCAGGUUAAUACCCCGCUGUUCUGACGGUACCCAAAGAAUAAGCACCGGCUAACUUCGUG